GGCAACACGGAAGCCUUCCAAGGG
rnacentral:siRNA from 1 species